CAGCAGUAGCCGCGGUAAUACGAAGGGUGCAAGCGUUAAUCGGAAUUACUGGGUGUAAAGCGUGCGUAGGCGGUGAGUUAAGUCUGCUGUGAAAUCCCCGGGCUCAACCUGGGAAUGGCAGUGGAUACUGGCUCGCUAGAGUGUGUCAGAGGAUGGUGGAAUUCCCGGUGUAGCGGUGAAAUGCGUAGAGAUCGGGAGGAACAUCAGUGGCGAAGGCGGCCAUCUGGGACAACACUGACGCUGAAGCACGAAAGCGUGGGGAGCAAACAGGAUUAGAUACCCGUGUAGUCCCUGUCUCUUACAC
rnacentral:rRNA from 1 species